rnacentral:rRNA from 1 species
UCGCACCUACGGGGGGCAGCAGUCGGGAAUAUUGCGCAAUGGAGGAAACUCUGACGCAGUGACGCCGCGUAUAGGAAGAAGGUUUUCGGAUUGUAAACUAUUGUCGUUAGGGAAGAUAAAAGACAGUACCUAAGGAGGAAGCUCCGGCUAACUACGUGCCAGCAGCCGCGGUAAUACGUAGGCGGCGAGCGUUAUCCGGAAUGAUUGGGCGUAAAGGGUGCGUAGGCGGUCGAUUAAGUCUGGAGUGAAAGGUACCGGCUCAACCGGUAUAGGCUCCGGAAACUGAUGGACUGGAGUACAGGAGG